UUGGUUUUUUUGUUGCUUAUAUUCUUUAAUUCCACAAAUCUUACAUAAUUUAGGCUGUGAUUUUUACUUAGACUAUUAUAAGGUUCUGACCCAUGUGAUCAGGAAAAACUUCAAGACAACAGUUCAUUAUGAUUUUAAAUUUGCUGCCCAAUGGGAUGUAACUAUAAUGUAAUUGACAGUCUUUGAAACAAACAUACUAGAAGUUAUACAUCCAGGAGGCCAUUGUGCCCUUCAAGCAGUCACCUAGGAAGGCUAUGGAUCUGUUCCACUAAUGCUGCCAGGGCUUACAUGUUGUGGAAUGCCUCUUUUUAAACUGUCUCUGACCUACUAAGAAAUAAUAGAGUAAAUGACAUACUGUUUUGAAUAUGCUGAAUCAUGGAGUAGAUGAAUUUGAUUUUGGCUUAAAUGUUGUGGAAUGCCUCUUUUUAAACUGCCUCUUAACUGAUAAGAAAUAAUAGAGUAAAUGAUAUAUUAUUUUGAAUAUGCUGAAUCGUAGUGUAGAUGGAUUUGAUCUUGGCGAGUAGUCAGAUAUCAUUCCAGGUCCCGCUGCAAUGAAUACAAUUUGGAGUGGUGUUUGGAGUGACAAUUGGAUAUAAAAUAACAAGAUGGGCUUUCUUGAGUGAUACAUAAACUAACCUUGAAGUUGAUUGUCAAAGAGGAAUUCCAGAACCUUGGACCUUGGAAUAAAUGUAUAAGCUUCCAAGACAUACCUUGUAGAUGAAAAAUAUACUCCUAUCAUGGAACUCUUUAUAAGCAAACUUCUAAAUUUUGGUGAUUUGAAUGCUGUGUCUCCUGGAAAUCUGGAUAAAGUGCUGCCUUUUUUAUUACUGUGAGCCUAUAUCUCAGGCACAGAAAAGUUGGAGAAGAGGAAGCCAAGAAGCAGUGUGACGUUUCCUCACAUUGUUGUGUGGCCCUGCUGGUUCCCUUGAUCUGCAGACCUGAUGCUUCUUAAGAUGCAGUUAACUGUCAUAUUCAGGGCCCAAGGCUUGAAUGGGAAAUCUCCAAGAGUUUUUGUGAGCUUUUCCCACAAAAUGAGAAUUUUAAUUUUUAUUCUGAUAAUUAAAAUAAUAUUAGCUCUGGAUAAAAAUUUCAAAUAACAUUGAGAUUUAGAAAUUACACAAUGUCAUAGUCCCAACCCUAAGAGACAACCAUCAUCAAGAAUUUAGUGUGAGGAUCCUGCCAGACAUGUUGUUUUUCAUAUAUUAAAAAACACAUAAAACAUCUCCUAUAGUCAGCAAUACUGUUAUGCAUUUAAAAAGUUAAGGGGGUGGAUCCCAUGUUAAAUGUUCUUAACAUACACACCCAUACACAAAAGGAAACAGGGAAACUUUUGGAGGUAAUGGAUAUGUUUAUUACUCCGACGUUGUGGUGAUGGUUUCACAGGUACAUGUGUCAUAUGUACAAAUGUCCAUUAAAUAUGUGCAAGUUUAUUGUAUGUCAAUUAUAUCUCAAUAAAACUGUUUUUUAAAUUCCCCCCACAAAAAAACACAUGAACAAAGCCAGAAUGUGUCACACUAACAAACGUCUAUGAAAUGUGUACUCCUUACCCCAAAGCCCACCAACCCUCUGCCUGUGCCUGUUCUGAUUAUCAGUCAAGACCAUUUCCCAAUGGCCCAACAGUAACCAAGUAAAGCGAUGAGCCAAAAUGAUUUUUGCCUUGUCGAAGAGCAGUUCUGUGUUUAUCACUUAAUAAUGCUUUAGACAUCUUUUCUAGUCAAUACAUCUAUUCUCAACCUUUUUUCUCUCACAUGCCAUUUCUCAGGACACGCUGCUCCCAGUAGCCAUGCCCUGCCCAACCUGCGCGACUAUAUAUGGAUGCCUGGUUGCUCUUUAUCUCUUUUCUCUGAACCAUCUUUGCCCCAACUGAUAAUGAGAGAAGAAAAGCCAAGGGGCCCAUUUAUAUGGAGAGCUGUCUCAGCAGGGACUUCUGCUAUAGAUGUGCCCCAAAUGGUAAAACUAGACUCAGUACCCACUAGGAGGGGUCCAGCCUGCUCUGGCUGAACAGGUCCUUGUUGCACACUCACUCUGCAUGUGGUGGAGACUCUCACGGAGAUCUGAGUCUGUCCAUACAAGUCACUGUGAUAAGUCCAAAAUUAAUAAGUGUACAUCAUAAUAGUUUAGUUACAGAUAAAGCAUUUGAUAUAAUUAUAAGUGGGAUUUUUUUGGUAAACAAAGCCUAUUUAAGGUGAAGCAAAUGAUUUUUAAGGCAGAAAUAUAUUCCCUAUAGUUUAAAAAUUAUCACUCAUGAAGAAGUAUUCUCUGCAUUCUUCUGAGAAGAAUCUUACAUAGUAGUAGUGCUAUGUGUAAGCAUUUUCUCUUUACUUUUGAAUUUUAACAGUGCAUACUGGAAAAAAUUAAGUGGUAUUCCAUUAUAAUGAUGUCUUAGUUAAUAUAAAAUGUAUUAAAGUGUGGAGUUAACAGUGACCAGUUAAUACAUUUAAUUUCCAGAAAUGAAUACCAGUUAUUAAUGGUGAAUAUGGGUGUUGCCAGGAAUGGAAAUUCAUUGUACAUUUUUGA